UACAAUUCGGUCCGCUAGGCAGUGAACCCAAAUAAACGCAAUAUAUAUGAACCGACCAGUGUGUAUCGUUUUUCCAUUAAUCCCCAUUACUAUAGGAGAAAAGACACAAAAAAAAAGAAAGAGAACAAUUUGUGGUGCGCUUUUUUAUUGUGCUGUGUGAUUUCCGAAUUAAAAUGUGCUUAUUGCGAGUAAAAUGGACAGAAAACCGAAGUGAAUAAACAAUUGUGCGUCUAGAUAUAAAUCGAAACGAGUAAAAAUUCCAACGAAAUAAUUUCAAGAAAAAACGAGACCAAAAGAACAUGCAUUGAGAAAACUGAAAAGUAUCGUUUAAAAUAAAAGGUGGUAUCUAGUGAUUGCUGAAACUUUCUCGAAUGGAAUAAAAACCGAAAAAGCACAGUUUUUACAAAGUGACAGUGUGAAUGAGUGAUUUGUGAACAUAAAGAAAACGAUUUUGAGCAAUAAAAAAAUAUUUCGGCUAAAAAACAGAAUGGAUUUGUGCGUUUAGUGAGUAAGUGUGCGAUGUGGUGAAUUGAAUCAUGAGCGCCGACAUUGGCGUUCCAUGGAGAUCAUCAAGCGGCGCCAGCGUUGCUGGUUGUAGCGGUGAAUCGAGAUCUCCAUCGUUGUCAUCAUUACCUCCACUUCCUGAUUUGAUUCCAAUUCGAAAGGGCAACAGUAAUACGCUUAUCAAAGCCAAUCUAAAACAUGCCAACCCGAACAAUGGGUCCGUAUGUCCGAAUGCAAAUAAUAACACAAAUGAAACGACAAUGAACAGUCACCAUAGUGAUCAAAACGGGAACAUUGCAAAUGAUGUUAGUCAACAUGAGCACGAUGAGCUUGAAUCAAUGGACAUUAAACCAAAUGCCACUGAAUUGUCUUUGUAUCAGUCUUGUGAUGGGAAUCGUCGUAACGGCAGUGAACGUCGUGAAGACAAUGACCAACAACACCAACACCACCAUCAGCACACCGAAGGCGAUGCGAAUUUGUCGACGAUGUCGAUAAAACAAGAACGCCAGCAGCAGCAGCAGCAGCAGCAGUACACAGAUGACGGAGAUGUAGCUCGCAAGAGUAGUGCAAAAGCAAACAGCGCCGAUGCAAUGGCCAUUUGUGUUAGUAUCGGUGGCAGUUAUUUCACAAAUGGGAACGGUAAUACGGUUCAGUGUGACAGAAAUGUGGAUGGUGGACAGUUAAAGCACGUUAAUAAAUUGUCGUUGGUGAAAAAUGAAAAGUGUCAAAAUAGUGAUUUAAUGCAUAGUACCAGUAAAAGUAAUAGUAACACUGCCGCCGCCGCCGCCGCCAUCGUUGAUUCGUUUGAUAGCGAUAACCGAAAUGCCGAAAGUGAAAAUCAAAAAAGUGGUGUUGGUGGCCCGGCCCAAAAUGGCAGAGCCGGCAAUAAAAAGAGUCAAAAUAAUUUCAUUUCGGAUAUUCCAAAGCGAACAACGCGAAGUGCAUUAGAUACAUAUGAAUGCAAAGCAAGGCUAUACACACCGUUACCGGCCGUUUAUUAUAGCGCAUGUUAUGCGAGAGCCGCUCGCCAAAAACCAAAACGAAAAGUUCUCAAAGGCAAGGGUCGUGGCGGUGUAUCAAAAGUUGGCCGACCACCAAAAGCAAAAUCAAAUACAACCACCAAAAAUGCAUCAUUGGCUUUGGGAACAGUGACCGAAAAAUCGAAACCACCUAAAACAGCAACAUCAACAACAGCAACAACAGCAACAACAGCAACAACUCCAUCGAGGAUAAAUCCGAUUUUUUUGUUUGUUAAACGUGAUAAUACGCGAAUCGUUGAGGUUCGCUGUGAAGACUAUGACAAACGGAAUCGAAUUCGUUUAACAAAAACGGCCAGCGGUUGGCGGGCCACACCACGAACAGACGAUUCAAAGGCAAAUGCUGCACCAUCGGAUGUUUCGGACACGAUGUUACCAAAGGUCAUGGUGAAACGGCUCGAAGAAUCCAACACAAUAAAUGUUGUGAAUCAAAAUGGCAAUACGGAAAAUGAAAAAGACGAUAAAAAUAGUGCCACCUGGCGCGUCAAUCCGUUCUCACAGAAUCGCAUUUUUAUCAAAAAGGAUGCAUGUUCGCUUAAUAACAACAACGACAGCCAAUUUAAUAGCCUAUACGAAAAUCGUCAAUCAUUCGAUUGCAACAGCAGCAAUGCUGAGCACAGCAGCGGCGUGGAUACAUCUGCAUCGGAUAAAGUUCAUUUGGUAAAUGAAACGUCGACACGGAAAAAACACAAAAAGAAAAAGAAGAAGAAAAAGGAAAAGCAUAAAUCGAAAAUGGAUAAAAUGCUAACGGCCGAACACUUCGUAUCGCAUUCGGAUGUUUCGUCAAAACAAACGCCGAAUGGCAGCGCUGUAAGUGAGGAUGGUCAAAUGGCGCAUGCGACACCAAUACCAAAGCCGAUGUCAGUGACAUCGAAACAAAAUGCAUCUGGAAAUGCAAAUGGCAAUGAAUGCAAAUUCACGAUUCGACUGAGUAAAAAUGGGGAAUCGUCGUUCGUUGCAACGAAAAAAUUCUCAACCAUAUCAUCCACACCAUCAUCAUCAUCGUCGUCGUCUCGAUCACCGAAACCCGAAUUCACAUCCACCGAAAAGAGCAGCGGGUUGAAGUUGAAAAUCAUUGCGGAACGGCAACCACAGCAAACACAGCAACCGUUCCUUACCGAACGAGACCCAUUCAGACAAGAGCAGCAGGAGAAUAAUAGCAACAGCAACAGCACCGUUGCCAAAAUGCAUUCGAUGGCCGCGGAGCAGCCAACCAGUGAAGUCGAUUGUGAUAGAGUCGAGAUGUAUUGCAAAAGUGAUGCAGAAACUAAAACGAAUUCGGAUGCGCUGAGCGCAAGUGUGAGCAAUGAGUUGGUGGCCGCAACUAUCGAUUGCGAGAAAAUUGAUACGAAGAAGGAAGUUGUAACGCCAGCCGUGUCUCCUUAUAACCAAGUAGCAUAUCCUUCUCUAUCACCGUCAUCGUUGCAGCCACAUCAUCAACAUCAUCAUCAUCGUCAUCAUCACCAACAACAGCUACCAAUACCAAUGCCAAAUGGUGCAGUGGAAAUCUCAAAUACAUUCAUACAAUCGACGAGAGUAUCGCAGCAGCAGCAGCAGCAGCCAUCGACUACAACCAACGAAACAAUCUCAAGUUGCAGAAGCAGCGAUGUUAAAACGUUUGCGAGCCCAGAUAGUGCACCAGUUGAGACAUUUGAUUCAAAACUAUCAGUGAAACAGUGUGUUGCAUCUCUGAAUUCUGCAGCAGUAACAGUAACACUAGUAGCUGCGACCCCCGCGCAAUUUCAGUGCAGUGACAAUAAUAACAGUUUGGCAAAUUUGGUUGAAAAUUUAACGGAUGAAAAACAAUUGGACGAUUGUGUUGAUUUGCUCGAUGAAAAUUCGAAUUCGUACGACAUUGAGCACAUACAAGUGAGUGAACCACAUGAAAUUGGCGUUGACACCGAUUCGCAUUCGAAUCAAUUGCAUCACGAUUUGGGUGAGUACCAUGAUUUAAUUGCACGCAUCCAAAGCGGUGACGAUGACCUUUUAAAUGGUGACAAUACUAUGAACGGCACCGAUCUCAUCGAUUCGCUAGUUGAACGUGGUUGCAAAGACAACAAUAUUUCGGGCGACGACGACGAAAACCAUCACAACGAUCUCAAAGAUUCCAUUUGUUUGUCGGACGAUUACAAUGACGUCGAUACAAGUUUGCUGUUGAGUUCGCAGCCAGUGGUCGAUAUUUUGUCACGAUUGAACAGUGAAACAAUGGCUUCAUCGUCGUCAUCAUCGAAAUGUUUGUCGUUUAAUGAGGCGGGAGAAAUUGAAGCGCUCAGCGAAUCGUUAUUUGCAAAAGGUGAUGGUUUGGUGCCAUUCAAUCAGAGUGCAUUUGAAGAAUUAUCAAUGACACUAAAAGGGCUUGAGAAACAAGCAAAUCAAAAUGCAAGUGGAAAAGAUGUCGUUUGCACGACAGUCGUUUCUCCUGAUUCGUGCGAAGAUGAAUUGCCAAAAGAUUUGAGCUUCAAAAAAGCAACCAAAGAGAUUGCAACAGGCCUGCGCAUUGCAUCACCGCGAACCAUUUCACGAAGUUCCGAUGCAAUACAGUCCCCGCAACCGUCCGGGUUGCCAGCCGUACCUCCAUCUCCAGACAUUAUGAUGGCGUUACAUCAGCACAGUAAAAAGCAAAAUCCAUUGUUUUUGGACAUUUCGUCACCGUCACCAAAACCAUCCGAAGCCAAUAUUUUGCACUCGAAAACCGACUUUUUCGAUUUAUCAUCGCCGCUGUCAAAAGAUGACGGUGAACAUAACACUGCAACUAAUACAAAUCUCACGGCGAAUAACAAUAGCAGUUCGCGAAGCAUUUUAAAGCGAACAUUGCAACGGGAACCGCUUGAUUUGGGCCAUAAACAUCGUAAAUCGGCAAGUCCAACAAUUAGUUGCUCGGAGGAAGUGCAACGCUCGUCGACCGAUGGUGAACCACUGGCGAGACGCAUCAAGACUGAACAUCGUGCUGACAAUAGCUUAGUGACAGCAUCGGCCAAGGACACUAGUCAAGCAGCUUCGGCCAAAGAUCCGGACCCAUUGACACAAUUACGUUUGCUAAUCAAUAAUCCGGAAUGGAAAUUGCCCGAUCCAAUUUUAGUGCCAAAGAAUCGGUUGAAUGCUGUAUUAGCAUCGCCAGCACGUGAAAUUCCAUUGCUAUUGACGACACGGCCCGAACUUCGGCUUCCCGAAGCAUUUGCAUAUCCAUCGAUAUUGCAAGAUCCCGACAUACUUGUGAUAUCGUUCGCUCAACUCGAGACCAUCAUUCGCAAACAAAGCGAAUUUAUGAAAGACGCAGACCCAAAUCGAAAUGUAUUAAAUAAACAUGUCACUUCGACGGCAACAACAGCCCCGUCACAAGCAAAACCAACGUCAAGUCAAAGAGAUCAUCAUCAUCAUCAUCAUCAUCAACAUUCAAGUCAACACCAUAAAGAAUCAAAUCCACACCGCAAACAUGCAGAAAAAUUACCUGAAACUCAAUCAACUCAUGACAAAAAUUCCGCUAAGCCAUCGAAUGCACGUGCCGAGGCAACAGCUGCUGUUUCACCGGGCGGUAACAAUACAAAUUUAGCGAAUGACAUCAAUUCGGCCACACUUGAAGCUUUAAAUCAAAUGUUUUGGCUACCGUAUUUGAGUCAAAUGUCUCAGAUGGGUCAAAUCUCACCCGAUUUACUCAAAGCUAUGUCAUUGCCAAAUUUAUCGGUGCAACCGAAUGCAUUCGCCGGAGCAAAUCAGUAUGGUUUACCGAAUGCAUUGCCAAAUUUGAAUAAUCCCUUGGAAUUGGCGAUGUGGCAAGAGGCGGCUGCAAAUAAAGUCGCACUGCAACGACUUAUGGAAAUGAAUACACAAAAUAUACGGGAGGCUCAACGUAAAGCGCUAAACGAUGCUAAAUUACAGCAGCGAAAUCAAGAGAGUAUCGCAGCAGCCAUUCGGCAACAAACACUGUUGCAGCAGGCACAAAUUCAAAAAUCGGCCAGUGCAUUUUUCCAAAAUUUCCAAAAUCGUACGCAGCAAACGCAGCAAAAAAGUCCAGCCCAACCAUCGUUCCUAUCACCCACGUUCGGCAAGGACAAUCCAAAUGAGUCACAACAACGCGCUUCGUGCAAUUUACAGUCACCAACGCUAUCAAAGCGAAUGUCGCACGCAAUGAAUCCGAAUCCAUUUUUCCCAGCUGCCAACAAUUUCCCGAAUAUGGCCAAUUUACACAAGUUUGGCAUGGCCAAUGCAAACGACACCAGCAACAGCUCAUCCACAACAAAUGCACUGAGAAAAGCACGAAAGGAACAGAUUUUACAACAGCAACAACAUCUUCAGUCAUUGCUUUUGCAAAACGCCCAACAUUCACAGCUCAAUUUACCGGUGCACCAUCAAUCAAAUGACACGCCGAAUAAAUCACUUAUGCAUUUACUGCAGCAAUCAGGCUUGGAUCAAAUGCGUUCGCCACGCAAUGAAACCAUGGCCAACAAUAAAAUGCCAUCCACACAGAUUCCUUCGUUCGAUCUAACCUCACCGAAUUCAGCGCAACAAAGUAACAACAACAAUGCAACCGCGAAUCGACCUAAGCUAAGAGUUAAAAAUGGGCUGCAUUUACUCGAUCCACUUGCCGCGCAAAGACGGUUCCUAGCUGGUAACACGGCACGAUGCAACGACAGCCCGGAAAUUGGUAGUACCACUAAUGGAAUUGACGAGAUAAUGAUGAAUUCUGGUGUUUUAAAAUCAGACCACUUUGUCACGAGCAACACGAAAAAGAAGUGAAACACUUUAAUGCCCCUUCGAUUUUGAUAACGAACAAAAAAAAAAUUAAACGAGUGCAACGACAAUGAUCAUAAAAUUGUCAAUUUGGAACGUAAAAAAAGGCUUUAGCGCACAUGUUGUUGAUAAAAGUGUGGAGAGAAUUAACAACUUUUAGCAAAUUUCAUGACAAUAACACAGAAAAACCUUCGCAGUCAAAUUACGCCAGCCCGUGGCAAUGGACAAAAGUGACAGCAACCGGUGAAUGACAUACGGCUGAUGCUCGCAAAGAUGCAGCUCCAAAUUUAUCAACAAGCGAAUUGUCGACAUAUCUUCCAGGCACCAAUGAUUUCCACAAUUUUCAGCAGCUCAUGACUAACAGCAAUGCAACGUCCGGCAGUAAUAAUGCGGCGAAAAAUCGUAUGCAAAACAUGACGCUAGCGAACGAAGGUGGUGGCGGCGGCAGCAGCCGCAAUAAUAGUGGGCCAACGGGUAGUAAUAAUGGAAAAUCAUUUCAAAUGCCAUAUCCAUUUUUACCGCCGCCACAAACACAAGCGAUGUGCGCUCAAAAUCCGAUGUCACCCACCACAUCACCGAUGUUACCACCAUCAACAGCGAUGGCAAAUCAAUCGAACAUGGCCAGCGUACAACAUUCACCGGGCAUGGCCAAUACACGGCCAUUCUCAAUGGAUCGUGUGCCCGGCACCAAUAUGGAAUCAAACAACAAUCAAACAUCGAAACAAUCAAAUUCUGCGGAUCAAAGUACAGCACAGCAGCAGCAGCAGCAACAUCAACACAAUUCCAUGCUCUCACCAACCCGACAUCUUCCAUUUCCUUAUAAUAAUCUCAACCAGUUUCACCGCAACUUCUGAGCAUUCACAAAAUAACAAAGAAAAAACCGAAACAAUUUAUUUUUCCAUUCUUCAAAGUUAUUUAAGUUUUGAAUAUAAAUUGAGAUUAGAGAACUGAGAAUAACAUUGUAUUAGUAAUUUCAAAGUGACCGAAAUGUGAGAGUGGGACAAGCAAAAACACAAAAUGUUCACAUUGUAGAUAGCUAUAGUUAUCCAUAUGUAUUGGUCUGAAACGGAAAAAUUUGCAUAUAAAUGAAGGAAUGAUUAAAUGUAAAAGAUACGGUCAAUUCAAUGUGAAAUGUAAUUUUAUGUUGAAUUGAAGCCACAAUGAGCUAGAAUACAAAUACGGAAAAAUGUUCCAUUUGAAAAAAGGGAAGAGGUUAAAUAUGAGCCACCUUCCUUCUUUUUUUUUGUUGAAGUAAAAAUUGAAUUGAUGACAUAUAAUGAGAGAGAAAAAACAUUUACGACAUGCAAUUGGAAUGGUAUUAAUGUGUAUGCAAUGACUUAGUAUCGUUCCCUCACCAUUCUUCAAUCACCUACCCUCCUCCUCCUCCACCUCAUUCUGUGUAUGUUCUGUCUUUGCUAGUCUAGAAAAUAAUUUAUUGUACUAGUUGUAACAUGAAAUUGAUAUUUAAUUGAUACGAACAUAUAUGAAGUGAUUGAAGUAUACAUGUAAAAAUGAAGAGAAAAUGCUUUAACAAAUGAAUUUAUUGACAAUUUACUGAAAGCAUAGCACCUAAAGACUUUUUUUUUGGUCAAAACAUUAUUGAAUCCGUUGAGUUCUCGUCUCAACAUUAAAAACAAGAAAACAAUAAAAAAAACUCUUUCUGAUUGAAAGUUCAGAGUUCAGAGUUCAAAAUUGACACAGUUGCAAUAAGUUUUUUUGAAAACACAACCAACAAAAUUGUUUCUUUAUCUUUCAAAGUAAUUAUAAUUUAUAUGGAUAUUAAAAUUUAAGCUAGGAAAAUGCUUAUGUCAGCCCAAACGCCACCCGUUGAGUGUGUGUGGAUCCAUGAUUGGAACAGAACAGAACGGAAUGGAAUUCAAAUUAUUACUAACACACACUCCAAUCACAUGAGCAAUUACAAAAUCGGAUAGGAUUAAAUGUUACAGAAUCCGGAUUAUCGAGAACCGAUUCAAAUAUCUCCAGCAAACCACUUGAAUAAUAUUAACAAUAUUAAUAGAUCGGCAAAAUCGCUGUAUGUGUAUAAAGUUCCUCAAAACAGAAAUAAAAAAAAAUUAAACAUAAUAUUGAUGUAAACACUACUAGAAAUAUCGCUAGCCUAUAGAUUUAUUGCAAGUAUCUGCAGGAAGAAAGAAAAAAAAAACAAAACAAAAAAAUACCUAGAUGAAGAAUUGUAUGAUAAAUAGACAAAAGAAAAGUUACUGUAUAUGCAUAAAUUGAUGAAUUAAUUUUAUUUGAAAAUCUUCAAAAUUUAUUAAAAAAAAAAAAACAAAACACAACCAUACACACACAUCUAUCAUAAAUAAAUCAAAAUCAAUGAUGACAAAACAAGAAGAAAAA